rfam:Loxodonta africana unplaced genomic scaffold scaffold_4, whole genome shotgun sequence.
GUAUUGGGGGUUCAGUGGUAGAGUUCUUGGUUUCCAUGCGGGAGACCUGGGUUUGAUUCCCAACCAGUGCA